rnacentral:tRNA from 1 species
CAUUACGAAGCUUAAAGUAAGCUCUGAUUUUUUAAAUCAGCCAUAUCGGCUUUACUUCUGAUUGUGAUGA